GCCGAGGUAGUCUAGCUAGGUAAGGCGGCGGUCUCGAAAACCGCUGGUGCUCGCCACCACAAGGGUUCAAAUCCCUUCCUCGGCGC
rnacentral:tRNA from 1 species